UAAGGGUCUUGCCCUUGUUCAGCGUUUAGAGGUCCUGCUUGGGACCUGGGUCAAAUUUAGUAGGACCUGAAGAAGACAUCCCUUCUGUAGUGAUUCCGAACCACCUGCAAGUUCAGACUGCUGAUUGCUCGCACUUGAGUUUCGGGAGCUUUAGUUCAAGAACGCUAAGGUGGUUGAGGAGUUACAAAAGGAACUGGAGAAUGCUCGAGUUCAGAUUCAGAGUGUUGAUCCUUCAUAUGACCCUUGAAAGGAUUUGGAACACAAAAGAAUCACAUUAUUUUGUUUGUGUGGAUAUAUAAUCACAGCAUCUUACCAGGGGCAGAUUUAGAUGUUAAUGGUCAUAGCACUUCAAACAGCAGCAAUUUACAACUGAACUAAGGGCAAAAAUGCAAGCAGGUGAAGGUGCCUUGGCCGUUGCGGGUGUUCGACAAAGAACAUCAAGUUUGUUGUCACCUAUGUCCGAGCGACAGACGCUUAAAGAAAAUAUUGCUGCUCCAGUUCGUUGUAGUUCCGCAACGUGUGGCCACUUUUAUCACCUGAAAUGCGUAGCUAAGCUGCUCCAGAAAAAUGAUAUGACCAAGCGACAGACGCUUAAAGAAAAUAUUGCUGCAGGGUAACCGUUUAUUUGUCCAGCUCACAAGUGUGCCAUCUGUAAGCAAACCGAAAACGGAAAAGUCGAAGAUUUGCAGUUUGCAGUUUGUUGAUGCAGAGGUUGAAGGGUUUUAUCCCAAUUCAACAGAAAUGUUGUGUACAAAGGUAUCUUUUAAAGUUUCGGUUUUUCAGUUGGAAAUGAUUCUGCUA